CGUUACCUACAGAAGAAGCACCGGCUAACUCCGUGCCAGCAGCCGCGGUAAUACGGAGGGUGCGAGCGUUAAUCGGAAGUUACUGGGGCGUAAAGCGCAUGCAGGCGGCCUGUUAAAGUCAGAUGUGAAAGACCCGGGGCUUAACCUCGGAAUUGCAUUUGAAACUGGCAGGCUAGAGUCUUGUAGAGGGGGGUAGGAAUUUCAGGUGUAGCGGUGAAAUGCGUAGAGAUCUGAAGGAAUACCAGUGGCGAAGGCGGCCCCCUGGACAAAGACUGACGCUCAGAUGCGAAAGCGUGGGGAGCAAACAGGAUUAGAUACCCUGGUAG
rnacentral:rRNA from 1 species